rnacentral:rRNA from 1 species
GACGAACGCUGGCGGCGUGCUUAACACAUGCAAGUCGAACGGAAAGGCCCUGCUUGCAGGGUACUCGAGUGGCGAACGGGUGAGUAACACGUGGGUGAUCUGCCCUGCACUUCGGGAUAAGCCUGGGAAACUGGGUCUAAUACCGGAUAGGAGCCAUUUUUAGUUUGAUGGUUGGAAAGUUUUUUCGGUGUAGGAUGAGCUCGCGGCCUAUCAGCUUGUUGGUGGGGUAAUGGCCUACCAAGGCGGCGACGGGUAGCCGGCCUGAGAGGGUGGACGGCCACAUUGGGAAUGAGAUACGGCCCAGACUCCUACGGGAGGCAGCAGUGGGGAAUAUUGCACAAUGGGCGCAAGCCUGAUGCAGCGACGCCGCGUGGGGGAUGACGGCCUUCGGGUUGUAAACUCCUUUCGCUAGGGACGAAGCUUUUUGUGACGGUACCUAGAUAAGAAGCACCGGCUAACUACGUG